rnacentral:rRNA from 1 species
UACGUAGGGGGCAAGCGUUGUCCGGAUUUAUUGGGCGUAAAGAGCGUGUAGGCGGCCUGACAGGUCUGCUGUGAAAACUCGAGGCUCAACCUCGAGAUGUCGGCGGAAACCGUCUGGCUAGAGUCCGGAAGAGGAGAGUGGAAUUCCACGUGUAGCGGUGAAAUGCGUAGAGAUGUGGAGGAACACCAGUGGCGAAGGCGACUCUCUGGUCUGUAACUGACGCUGAGGCGCGAAAGCGUGGGGAGCAAACAGG